ACUGGUUGGAGAUUCCUUCUUUGUGGAGUCCUUUCCAUGAGCCUUGAGCUUCAGAGAUAGGCUGCAAUGAGGUAUUUCUGCAGCCUUCUCUUCUCCAGGAACAAGCCAAGCUCCUUCAGCCUAUCUUCAUAGGAGGAGAGGUGCUCCAGCCCUCUGACCAUUUUUUGUAGUCCUCAUCUGGACCCUCUUCAAAAGCUCCGUAUCUUUCCUGUGUUGAGGACACCAGACAUAGAGGCAAUAUCGUAGCUGGGGACUCACAAGAGCCCCCUGAUCAGGUGACCUGUAGUACACUCCAACUACUAGAUGCCCCUUAUUGGUCCUGUCCCUAAUGUUUCACCCAGAAGCUCUCAACCUGUUUUUUUUUUUUUGUCACUUUGGUCACCUUUGAGAUGGCUGCUGUCAAAUUCACUGUCCUCCAUAUGCUGCUGCAUCUUGUUUUCCCCUGUGUCUGAGCCAGGCCUGGUGCUGGCUUUGCUGCUGGGGCUGGUGAUGCAACACUGCCACACUGGACCAGGUGCUGGGGCAAGAGGUGGUGGAGGAACCUCAGGAGCCAUGAGUUGACAUUAAAGAGGAAGAGUGGCAGAACUAUCCAAAGGAGAAGAGCCAAAUAAUAACAAUCAUUAGUUCUGUGCUCAAAUGGAAGCUAAAGGGACUAAAGAGGCAAAUUGACCAAGAAGGUAUCCAUCAUACACAGUGUUCAUGCUGUGAAGACAAAAAUAAGUGCCUUGGGUAAAGUUCUGUGCUGUGGGACACAGAAUCACUUUCUUAAUGCCGAUGGCAAAAUGGCAGACAGGAAGAAGUAGUAAUAUAUCAAGUGAAUGAAGGCAUGAAGUUCUCCUACAAAAAGGGAGAUACAUAUAGGAUGGCUUUGAGAGGUUCUAGGCCUCUAGACAUGUAAAGUACAUGUACACUGCAGUCAUUCAGCAUACUCAUUGAAAUGUACCAGUUUGAUUUCCAUUUCUGACCAGUUUGAUUUUCAUUUCUCUGUGAAAAUGGGGAAAAUGGCACAGGAUAAACAGACAGUUAAAAAAAAAAAAUUACAUUGCAGUUCAGCUACUCAAUGGGGAACAUUGAGCAUUGAAGCUCACGUGGUGACCUUCACAUGAUUAGAUAUUGCAUGAAUAAAAUAUCUAUUGCUUGAACUAUCGUAUUCUCUUCGCACAUUGAAAUUCUGGGCAGCUUUGUUCUUUUUGUGCCAAUUGUUAAAGGUGAUUAGCAGUUGCAGUUGUAGAGUAACACAACACUGACAUUUAUAUUUCUUACUGUGGCCUUAUGUAUGCUCGCCCUGUAAGACAAAGGUAGAGUGUUAAAUAUCUGUACCAUAUUCUGUAAUGCACUACAGGAAUAUGCUCAUCUUUCAGAUUUAAUUUUUUUUUCCAAUUCAUUUAUUCUAAUUUAGACAAAGGGUAAAUACUUUCUCAGUCAAGCCUUGGGAAUAACAAAUCAGUAGCAUGGUUUGCUUUCUCUUUUGGUCACCAAGGGCUGCCUAUAGCUUCUUCAAGCUCUCAGUUUCUGACUUGGCAUGUUUGUUUGAUUUCUCUCCAUGCUGAUAUAGCUCAGGUGCGUGAACGAAUAUUUGAACAAAAUGGGUAUUAAAUAUGAUUCCUAUAGUUUUCUAGGCUAGUAAUAAUUGCAGAGUAGGCCUGAUACAUUUCUGAGGAAUGGAGCCUAUAAUGAUCUCAAUCCAGGAGAGCAUUUAUAUCUAAAAGUGAAUCACCUCUACGAGUAUUCCCAACUUAUAAUCAAAGUGAGCAGAGGAAGAGUUAGGAUUGUCACUUUUGGAUAAUUAUAGGUAUUGUGUAGCAAAGGAUAUAAGUAUUAAGAGAACUGGUCAAAUCACAAAUGGCUGUUUUACCAUGUUUUCCUACUAAGAAAUGUUUAUUUUUUUCCUUAAUACAUCCUGCUAUUCCAGUGUCACUCUUUAACUUGUUGUUCUGUUGUAUUUUUUUUUUUAUCACAGUUGCCAUUAAAAAAAUCAAACCCAGUACAUUUUACUUUCCAAAAUGUUUCAAAGGUAUUUGUGUUUGUUUUAAUGUAAGAUUUCUUGAAGUACUUUUUUUUAAUUCAUUCUGGUAGCAUUUGUCUUUGCAACAGAACUUUUUUCCUGUCUCUAUUUGUUACUUUCCAUCUUAAAGAAGAAAAUUGAACAAAAGUAUUCCCAUGACUUCUUGAAAAUUCAUACCAAGACAUUGCAAGACCAGAUGCUAAAGUCUCAUAAAUUAAAAAGGCAUUAUAUACAGCCAGCUGUACCAUAUAAACUCAGAUUUUUAUACCACAUUGUGGUGUUCUGCGAAUCCUCAUUUGUUUUCCACAUCUGUUUGGACCUGUCCAUGCCUCCCAUUUAAAAAUUAGAAGUAAUCAUAUGCUAGAACAUAUCUGUAUGUUUGUGGUUUGACCUAAUGAAAAAGCUAUUAUAGUAUGAAUAUUGUGUUCAAAAAAAAAAAAGAAUAUUCUGCUUUUACUUUUGCUGAUUGUAGGACAGUUUAUACAAAAGCAUUAUAGGGAAUAAGUUCCAUAUAAAGAUUUUUUUCUUGCAGUUCCAGUGGAUUAUUCACUUCUACAUGAAAAAUGUUAUGCUAUCUGGCUCUUUGAUGUAUAUCCCUUCUUAUUGGCAUUUCAACAUUUGUAUACUACUCUAAUUUUUUUAUGAUAAGUUACUAAAUCCUGCUCUAGACACAUCUCUUAAUGAGCAUUUUAAUAAUGCCUUUGCAUGGUCUCCAAAACCAAUUUCAGCUUUCUGUGUGUGAAGGUGACACAAUGAAUUAAAAGUGGAUUACUUGAAAU
ensembl:lncRNA